UGGGGAAUCUUGCGCAAUGGGCGAAAGCCUGACGCAGCGACGCCGCGUGAGGGAAGAAGGUCUUCGGAUCGUAAACCUCUGUCGGAGGGGAAGAAACCUCCGGGCGCUAAUACCGCCCGGAAUUGACGGUACCCUCUGAGGAAGCAUCGGCUAACUACGUGCCAGCAGCCGCGGUAAUACGUAGGAUGCAGGCGCUGCUCGGAAUUAUUGGGUGUAAAGGGCGCGUAGGCGGCUUGGCAGUCACGGGUGAAAGCCCCCGGCUUAACCGGGGAAUUGCCUAUGAUACUACCAAGCUUGAGUACGGGAGAGGGAAGUGGAAUUCCUGGUGUAGCGGUGAAAUGCGUAGAUAUCAGGAGGAACACCGGCGGCGAAGGCGGCUUCCUGGACCGAUACUGACGCUGAGGCGCGAAAGCGUGGGUAGCAAACAG
rnacentral:rRNA from 1 species